GGAUCUAUAGCUCAGUUCGUUAGAGCAGCCGUUUGGUAAGCGGGAGGUCCUGAGUUCACCUCUCAAUGAAAGCA
rnacentral:tRNA from 1 species